rnacentral:lncRNA from 1 species
AAACUCAAAAGAAUUUUGCCUGCUCCGUAGCCUCAAACGAGGAAGCAGCCCAAUCUAUUCCAUACGAUCACUGAUCGAAUCGGGAUUCGGGGCUUUUUCAUACUCCUCCAAGUCAGCAAUGGGCACUACGGGAACUAGUUUAAUGGUGAUUAGUUUGAACCUCCUUCCCCUCCCACCUCUAUGGCAGACUACAAGCACAAAAGCUAAGGGAUUCCUAUGGAGGAAUGCCCGAGUUUCAUAGCAGAGGUGAAGAAGCUUUCAUUCGAGAAGAUGAAGCAUCGGAGGUGGAUGGAACUAUACUUUACAAAAGCUAUUUAGAGCGAUCCCCGUAGAUUAGAAAAAACAGGGAAAUAAAAAGGAAAGCACUGGACCUUUAGCCGACAAAGCUUUAUGCCCUUGUAAAACCUUAUGCGGAUUCUCCAUCAAUCAAAGAAGAAACAAUUAUGAGAGGGGAACUUUCUUCGGAAGAAGGAUUAGUCGAUGACUCAAUGACUGGUGGAAGGACUGUUUACCGGGGGCAGAAGUUAGGCUCUGGGCUCCCCUAUUACACAUGACCAUUAGCGGCAAGGGUUACAGAAGAGGCCCACCUAGGUGCAUCACAAGUAGAGUAGGUUGGAGCUGCAGAUCCUAUAGAAAGAAAGACAAAGCCUGAGGCUGAUCUAGACGCGUACCUAGGCGGCGCAGGCGUUAUCGGGAAUUGAGACAACCCGAAGAGGGACCGUUCGC